ACAGCAGUAGCCACGGGAAUACGGAGGGGGCUAGCGUUGUUCGGAAUUACUGGGCGUAAAGCGCACGUAGGCGGCUUGGUAAGUUAGAGGUGAAAGCCCGGAGCGCAACUCCGGAAUUGCCUUUAAGACUGCCGAGCUAGUAGGUGAGAGAGGUAAGUGGAAUUCCGAGUGUAGAGGUGAAAUUCGUAGAUAUUCGGAAGAACACCAGUGGCGAAGGCGGCUUACUGGCUCAUUCUAGACGCUGAGGUGCGAAAGCGUGGGGAGCAAACAGGAUUAGAUACCCCUGUAGUCCCUGUCUCUUAUAC
rnacentral:rRNA from 1 species